GAUGAAGAACGCAGUGAAAUGCGAUAAGUAAUGUGAAUUGCAGAAUUCAGUGAAUCAUCGAAUCUUUGAACGCACAUUGCGCCCGCCAGUAUUCUGGCGGGCAUGCCUGUCUGAGCGUCAUUUCAACCCUCAUGCCCCUAGGGCGUGGUGUUGGGGAUCGGCCAAAGCCCGCGAGGGACGGCCGGCCCCUAAAUCUAGUGGCGGACCCGUCGUGGCCUCCUCUGCGAAGUAGUGAUAUUCCGCAUCGGAGAGCGAUGAGCCCCUGCCGUUAAACCCCCAACUUUCCAAGGUUGACCUCAGAUCAGGUAGAAAUACCCGCUGAACUUAAGCAUAUCAAUAAGCGGAGGA
rnacentral:misc_RNA from 1 species